rnacentral:lncRNA from 1 species
AUGCAAGGGAGAUCUUGUCCUCCUAGAGAAACCUGUCCUUGUCAAACUGACCCACAGGUGCAAAAUUCAACUAGAGGCCUGUUUCCUCUAAGAGAAGUAACUGAAAUAGGACGAAAUGGGGAUGUGGUGACUUUAAGACAUAGGAUACCGUUUACUCCCCAAGAAAUAAAUGAAUUUACACGAAAUAUCCCCACAUAUGAACAAGAUCCUUUUCUAGUAACAAAAAAGAUGGGAGACAUAUUUUUUCAAUAUAAUCCGUCUUACAAGGACGUUGAGAGCUUACUACAGGCUUUUUUAAGUGAACGUGAAAAAAAUAAAAUAAUUGCUCAUGUCAACAAAACCCGGGGGCGUAAUGCAGCACAUUGGCCAUCUCAGGAUCCCGAAUGGGACUAUAAUAAUCCUGAGGACUAUCUACAACUAUACCGUUGUAGAGAGGCCAUCCUCACGGCCAUGAAGGAAUGUGCGGACAGUACAGAUAAGUGGAUGGAACUGGAAAAAAUUAAGCAAAAGGAAAACGAAACACCCUCCAGAUUUAUGGACAGAAUUAUCGAGUUUGGGGACAGAUACUUAGAUUGGGACUUAAAUAAAGAGAAUAGUUUAAGACAAGUUAGAAGAAUCUUUGUAAAUAAUUCUUGCAAAGUAAUUAAAAAUUAUUUUAAAACACAAUGCCCAAGAUGGUCAGAUAUGGACCUUGAAGAAUUGCGAAAAACAGCUAUAUAUGUUUUUAAGGGAAACGAAGAAAAGGAGGAAGAGAAUAAUGAUGACAUGGAGGAAAUGAAGAAAAAAAUGAGAUGUGUAAUAGAUAGGAUAACUAAAUUAGAAAGUGGGCAUGAUAAUGAACCAACGACAAUUGCCCCUCUCCAGAAAUCCAAUUAUCAAUCCAUUACUUGCCACUUCUGUGAGAAGAAGGGCCACAAAAUGAUGGAAUGUAGAACCUUUCUUAAGAUGUUUGGAAGGAAUACACAGUUUAAUAAUGGUUUUAGAAAUAAUAACUAUAGAAAUUAUGAUAAUGGUUAUAGAAACCAAAAUUCUAGAAAUUAUAAUAAUGACUAUGGAAAUAACUAUAAUGAAUAUAGAAAUAAGAGCUUUAGAAACCAGAAUUAUAGAAAUAGGAAUUGGGAAUUUAAUGACAAUGCUCAAAUUGAAGAAAAUUUUAAUGAUUAUACUCAACAAUAUAUGAGAAAUGGCGCUCGUCCAAAAAUUACUCGAGGUACUAAUGACCCUCAGAGAGGUGCCCUUCAGGGGGGUGCCCAAGGAAUAUCCCAAACACAAUGA